CUCCUCGUGGAGUCCUGCCCGAAACCUAGAGAGAGUAACAGUCUCCUCUUCGAUUACACUGCACUUCAUAUGAAACUCUUCAAAUCGUGCAAUGUAAUCGGCAACGGUUGAUGUCCCUUGAGUUAGUUUCUGCCACCUAUCCAUAAGGCGUUGUCGGUAAGAGAAUGACAUAUACUUCUCAUUCAGCUUUUUUUUCAUAUCCUCCUAGGUGGUGAUACGAGGAAGCCUUUGAGUCUCACGCAUAUGUUCAACAUUAUGCCAGUACCAGUGAGCUUGCCCAAUAAGCUUCAUUUUAGCAAAUCAUACUUUUCUAUCGUCAGUCAUUUCGUAUCACUCAAAAUAAUUAUCCAUGGCUGCUCUCCAAUCAAGAUACACGCUUGGCUCUAGUUGACCAGCAAAGAUGGGGGUAUCUACUCGUACGGUACGAAGUAGCCGUUCGUCAAGAUCGCGUUGGUGAUCAAGAGGAUGUUAGUUCCUAGGAGGAUGGGGAAGAUCUACAGGCGGUGUGGCCAACCGAACUCAGGAUAGGCUGCGAUUGGGGUUGACGGAUCAGGAGUCCUAAUGUGUUGCAUUAGAGCACGGACCUCUCGCUUGAAUUCUUCAUGGUGAGCUUGUAAGGCAGCGAUUCGUUCCACGAGAUCUUGCAGAACUUUGGAAUCCAUGGUAGCUAAAAGGGUCUUAAAAUGAGUGAGGAGGUACUUUCUACCACUACGGGUUGGCAUGUAAGGACUACACUAGUUGAUGAUAUGAAAUGCAAUGCUACUAAUGAACCCUAACUGACCAAAUGUGAUGCAGGACAACCUACUAAUGCAACCUACUAAGAAUUCGGAAAUCAACAAAUUUUCACAAAAGUAACUUAAAAUUAAAUGUUACCGAGUUGUACUUUGGUUAUUUCAGAAUUAAAGUAUGAAAUUAAUCACUUAUAAGAAAU
rnacentral:lncRNA from 1 species